rnacentral:rRNA from 1 species
UACGUAGGGCGCAAGCGUUGUCCGGAAUUAUUGGGCGUAAAGAGCUCGUAGGCGGUUUUGUCGCGUCUGCUGUGAAAUCCCCGAGGCUCAACCUCGGGUCUGCAGUCGAUACGGGCAAAACUAGAGUAUUGCAGGGGGAGACUGGAAUUUCCUGGUGUAGCGGUGAAAAUGCGUAGAGAUGGGGAGGAACACCAGUGGCGAAAGG